UACGUAGGCAGCGAGCGUUGUUCGGAAUUACUGGGCGUAAAGAGUGUGUAGGCGGUGCUCUAAAUCUGUCGUGAAAUCUCCCGGCUUAACUGGGAGGGUGCGGCGGAAACUGGUGUGCUCGAGGGUGGGAGAGGUAAGCGGAAUUCCUGGUGUAGCGGUGAAAUGCGUAGAUAUCAGGAGGAACACCUGCGGUGUAGACAGCUUACUGGACCACUUCUGACGCUGAGACACGAAAGCGUGGGUAGCAAACAGG
rnacentral:rRNA from 1 species